rnacentral:rRNA from 1 species
UACGUAGGGGGCGAGCGUUGUCCGGAGUUACUGGGCGUAAAGGGCAUGCAGGCGGUCGGACACGUUUUGUGUGACAGCGGGUGGCUUAACUACCCGAGGAUACGAAAGACGGUUGGACUUGAGGACUCGAGAGGGACACGGAAUUCCGGGUGGAGUGGUGAAAUGCGUAGAGAUCCGGAGGAACACCGAAGGCGAAGGCAGUGUCCUGGCGAGUGACUGACGCUGAGGUGCGAAAGCCAGGGGAGCGAACGGG